GUUGUGAGCCACCAUGUGGUUGCUGGGAAUUGAACUCAGGACCUCCGGAAGAGCAGCCAGUGCUCUUAACCCCAGAGCCAUCUCUCCAGCCCCCAUGUGUUGUAUUUUCACACGAUGGGUACUACAACUUAAAUUGUUGAGCCAGGCAUGGUGGUACACACUUUUAAUCCCUGUUCUGGAAAGACAGAGGCAGGCAGAUCUCAGUUGAGGCUACAUAGUAAGACCCUAUUCUGAACAAACAAAGCAAACGUGAUUUUUGUUGUUGUUAUUGUUGUUGUUCCUUUAAGUCAGGGUCUCACUAUGUGGCCCAGGCUGUCCUUGAAUCUGGGGUCCCCUGCCUCUGCCUACUGAAUGAACAGAUUCUAGCAGGACAGAUUUAUCACAGCAUCACCAACAGGAGUUACAUUUUCCAUUAUGACAUCACGACAAUUACGACCACUCCAGCACCACCAGGAGACAGGAACUCUUCAAUUCCCUUCUAACCUUAUGUAUGGGGCCAUCACAGUACACAAUUCAUCGCUAACCAAGCGUUAGGACCUACCUCUGUGGCUGUAUUUAGAGCGAUUCAUCUUUUUAUUUCUGAUGAAUAAACCACUAAGGUAGCCAGCCCCAACCAGGUGGAAUAGAGGCUGAGAGAGUUUGACUUUGCUACAAACCAGAGAGGCUAGCUGUAUCCUGUUCCCUCCGUUACUGAGGAGCUCCGAAGAGAAAGCCAGUCACUGUGGAACAUCAAACCAAGACAGGACAUUAAGGAGCCCACCCUGCCCACGGUGUGAAAUAGACAGGCUGAAUAGAGCCUCUCUGAACUGCCCUGGGCUACACACAGCUUGGCCUUCAGCAAACUUUGAGGUAGCCUACAAACUACUUCCUUCUGAAGAAUGGGAACAGACCCCUGCCCUCCUUAACCUAGGGCUGCUCUAAGGCACGGCCAAGAGAAUCCAAGAAACGCCAGCUGCCCCAGUGGCUGAUGUCAUCUGCAGGAGGGAGGGGGCACUGGACCACCCUCACCCCCUUCCUUUCAUCAGGGAGAACAAUGCACGCACACAUGGACUCCCCUCUGCUGCCCCACUAAGAAGUGGCUCAGGGGAAGCUCAGCUGUUCUCUCUCCGGAAAUUUAAUCUGCAAAGCAUUUGGCCUCAAAAAGUCAAUUCCAAAGGUGUCCAGGAGCCCUCCAUCCUUGUGAUCAUUGUUACCAACCCAGGGACGCUUGCAGCCGCUGACCCAUUUGGCAGCUGGGGAGAGCUAGCUGGGGGAUGGUCAACAUGGCCACUUUCCCCUCCCCCGUGCCUCCUGUGUGGAGAGAGACUGUAUGUUUACACAGGCCCCGGGGGUGAGGAGGUAGCAUAACUCUAAGAUCUCCACACCAUGGGACAGAGAGGCUAACUUCUGGCUCAGUUGAUAAAAUCGAGGGUGGUUAGGGAAUUGGGGAGCUCCGGAUCAAAGCAGCAACUGUGGCUACUGCUGUUACCCCUCUACCCUUCACAUAAGGGCAGCUGGUGUUCUAAGGGACAAAGUGGCUUGAGGUCACCCAUUAACUGGUAGUUGAGCUUAGAGCCCAGAUUGACCAAGAACACCUUAUGCUCAGCCUGGCUUCCCUGAGUGCUGUGCCAAGUGGCAAUCCCUUGACCCAGUGCCUCGGGCAAGGGGUGGGUGGUCUGGAGCUGGCAGGGAGCACCACCAGGCUAGAGAGAGGUUAGUCGGUCAAGCCAGUCAUGAUAGGAGCCUGUAGUUCAUGCUGUAGGUGCUGGCUGGGUCAGUGACCUAAGGCCCCAUGUUCUUGCCACACUUGGCUUACUAUCGGUCUCCUCCCAACAAACUGGCUCAAACCAGCCAACAACUCAAGUCUGAGCCACGGGCAGGCUGGGGCCCUAUGAGAACAGGAAACAAAUGAGAAAGUCAGAGUGUGUGGGAGUGCCAGGCCUGGGUACGUAGCCAACUGCCACAGAGACUUUCUUGAAAGUAGGCUGCAGGGCCCGAGUCUGGGGUCUGACGGGGACUCAGCCAGCCACGGGCAGUACUGCAUCCUCUGGAGGACACCAGCUAGCUUAUCCCUAGCUUCACUCUGGAGCCUAGGCAAGAUAAGCAAGUCUGCAUUUUCUAGCUGUGUACGCAUACAUGUGAGGGAAAAUGCGUCUCUAAAUACACAGAGCUGGGGAAGUGAGUCUAAAAUCUAUCCUCAGCUGCAGCCUAAAGGGCCCAGUUGGGAGCAGUGGUUUAGCAGGUAGGGUGGCCUGAGAGCCCUGCUCCCGUCCACUGAUACCUGCUAAAUUACUUCUAAGGCCUUAGGGGCUGGAUCCCCAGUAUCAAAGUCCCAGAGCCAUGAGGCAGACCUGCCCACCUCCUUCCCUCUGUACAGCAGGGAGUAACUACUAUUUAAUAGCACACAGUAGGUCCUUUCAGCCUAUUUACUGCAGCUGAACUCAGCCACUCAAGGGCAACCUCCUUUCUUUAGCCAGAUCUUAUCAGUCCUUUCCACCUAUUCAGCCUGCGGGCAACGCCUGACUUCUCCAUCCUGGCAAGUUGCCCACCACCCCUUUGUUCAAGAUGUGCUUUCUUCAGAAGCCUUCUCUCCACCCAGCCCAGCACCGAGCCUCCACAAAACCCACAGUGCCCAGUCCGUGGGCCACCUUGAACCCUAGACUCCUGUGGUCAACCCCACCUUGCUUUUGUCUUUACAUGGCAAAUGUAUUCAGCUCACAGUUAUCUGGAUUACACAUAGUGUCUCAGGGACGUCACGGUCAGCAAGGGCAAGACAAUGGUGGAUUCCUGUCCAUUGCUCUGCUCCAGUCCUAUGCAUGCCCACGGGGUACACAGUACAUUCUCGAAGCCUGUCAACUAUGGAAGCAGGAUUUCCCUGAGUACUGAAGGCUGGUAUAGAGGGAAGAGAGGAGAAAAAGAUGGGGCAACUAUUCCAUAUAGUAUGGGGCUAGAGGAGAGGGGCUGGGAUGGUUCUGUUUGGUUAUGAGCAGAGAAAGGCAACAUGGACUGGAGGUACCUGGACUAAUGCCAGGGAGCACAGCUCAGGUUGUCCCAAGCCCCUCCAGACCUACCACUCACGUGCUCCAGCCUCUCCUGAAGGACCCGGGGAGCCAAGGAGAAGGCAGGACAUCUUCUCCACCCUCCUUCAGAGUCUCUCUGACCUGCAGCCCUUGGCCUUUUCCUGCUCCAGAGGAACUGACCUCUGCUUCCUAGCGUUUAGGGUAUGGAGAAGUCACACGGCAAAGCUUUCUGGGGUUUGCCCUUCCAAAGAAGCAAAAGGCUGCAAACACUCGGGCUCCUGACCUAGACCAACGAUGCUACAUAAAGCUCAUGCCUGCCUUCCUGACUGUGCAUCCUGGGCAAGACACCUCACUUUUCUGGGUUUCAGUUUCCUCCUCGGAGAGAGAGGACACCAAGCCCCACCUUGUCUCUCACCAAGAGGUUUUAAAAAUUGCAUGCUUUUCUAUCCUGUGAAACUUAAAAUAUUAUGAUUCAAAAAGCGGUGACCUUGGAAAAUGCUCAAAAUUCCCAGCUAGCUGGCAGGAGCAGGCAUUUCCCCAGGUGGCCUUGACCUCUCUGCUGAGUCCCAGCAGGCAUCGGAGAGAACAGACAUUCAGACUUCUGGCCACUUAGGUUUCAAGCCACGGCGAGCCAAAGGUGGCUGUGCCGGUGAGGGCAGACCGGACCAUAGGAGAGGGAGACAUAGCUACCAUGCCUCAGUUUCGGAUCUAGGCACCGUUUGCUCACGUUACCACUAGUCCUUGGCAGACUGACUCUGAGUUUGGCUUCCUGUCAACCCCUGUGGCUCUCCUGGGCCAUUUCCCUACAAUCCAGUCCAAUAGAAGCUUGAGAGAAGCAAAUGAAUCUUAGCAGAAGCCUGAGAGAUGCCCAGCUAGGACGAGAGAGCAUGGGCUGCGACAGUGAAACUCAAACGAUAGUUUCUUAUCACACAAUUCCAUCGGAACCUGAGCUAUAGGAACCAGAAGUUUCCCUCCGCUUUGGGGGACUCAACGGGCUCCAAGGUGGGGAACCCCAUGGAGCAGUGAUCCCCACAAGGUCUUUCAGGUCACAUGAGCUAACUGGGUCACCCUAAUUGAUCCCCACCUUAAGGCUAGGAUUCGCGGUCAGCACUGGACACCUAGAGGAUGAGGUUAUGGAAUCAAGAUGCUGAUAGGAAUGAGGGUGGUUGCCGUGGGCUACCCUCAGCUACCACAAUGAUUACUGAAAACCUUAGUGCUGAAGUGUGUGAUAUCAGCAGCCACAGGGUAAGCUGGGGAGAGAACAGGGAAGGGACAAGUUUUCAACCCAAAUUUUCCCUGAGGUUCUGACAAAUUAUACUCCCCACAAAGUACCCUGCACUUAGCUAAAGCCCAUUACGUAAGAGCAGAGGACUCAUGGGAAGAGAUUCUCCCUAUACUUCAGCUGGGGAGCGAGACCUGACACUUCUACUGGGGACAAAGGUAUCCGGUCUUGUGUGUGUGUGUGCGUGUGUGCGUGUGUGUGUGUGUGUACUGGGAGGUGGGUGGACUCUCCAGGACUGCCCACUCACAGGUAAGAGUGGACAGAAGAGUCAAGUCACCUCUGUCUACAGAGACAGCGUCAGGUGAAGGUGACUGGCAGCCCUUCUUGUUCAACCUGAGCAGGUUGGAAGUGAGACAGAGGGAAAGUCCAGUGCUGUGCCCUACCCUGCCACUUGGCAGCUGGUUCCUGGCAUGGGGUUGGGAGCACUAGGUACUGACAAACUCUUGGAUGCCUUCCUAACACAGCCACGGCUCUCAUAGCUUGAAGGAAGAACUAUUUCUAGAGUCUCCUUGUCCCCCAACACCUGCUCCUGCUGCCCUCCUCGAGAGCCAGGAAGAUGGGUGCCAAGCUCUUGUCAGGUAGCCCUCCUGCUUACUGAAGCUUAUGGCUAAUUGGCAUAGGGCUGCCCAACUUUCCACAUUGCUUCUAAUUUGAGUGCCUAGUCCCUGCCCACCACCCCACACUCCCCUCUGCCCGCUGGAAUGUGUUCAUUUUCUAAGGCUCUUCCAGAAGCCCACCCUACCCCCGCACCCCUUUCCUGGGCCCAGUCUUGGCCGUCAGCACUUUUUAGCUCCGUACCAGAUACAGAACUCUGAUGGUCAGCAUGAUGGCAGCCUAGGUGGGUCUCCUCACUGCCGGCCUUGUGUAAUGCAUCUUGGUUGAAGGCAUCUGUUCUUGGGUCUGCCCUCUGUUACAAUCCCUUCUUUUUUGUCACAGGCUGGGACAAGGACAACUGUGCAAUUAAGAGCUCCAAAGGAAGCAGCUCUCUGGCAGGUGUAGUCCUAACAUCAUGGGCAGUAAUCCUUUGGCUGUCUCUGCCUCACAGGGCCUGAAGAGCUGUUAGAACCACCAAGUAUAAUCCACUCUGGCCAGGACGGUAAACUGUGCUGUACCAGUACGGGAUGGUUUUGUUUUGAGACAGGUCUCGUACAGUCCAGACUGGCCUCAAAACUGCUAAGUAGCCAAGGAUGACCUCGGAUCCUCCUCUCUCUACCUCCCAAGUGCUGGGAUUACAGUUGCCUACCACCACACGCAGUUUAUGUGGUACUAGGGGUCAAACCAGGGCUUCGUGUAUGUUAGGCCGACACUGCCAUCUAACACCACCUCAAAGUUCCCAGUCCAGGGUCCUAGCUGUGCUAUUAUGCGCUGACCACUUGCUGUGUCUCUGUCCCUGAUCACAGAGCCCUUUUGGGUUAGAGCGUUCCAACUUCAUAGCACUGUAUGGUUUGUCCCGUUACACAGGUAAGAAAAAUUGAUGCUUGGAGGAUCCCAGAAACUUCCCAAGGGACACAGGGUAAUCAAAGACACAACCAGGUCCAUCCAUCUUGAAGCUUGAGAUUUUCAUCUGGAGACGAUUUUGCAGUCUCAGUUUUAAGAGGACCUCUGUCCUACAGUGAACAAAGACUGGGCUGAUGGGACCCGGGGCUCGCUUGCUUAGGGAUUUAUGCUCUCUGGCCCUUUCUCCUCCAGAUGGCGUCACGAAGUGAAUGCACUGCAUACCAGAGAUGGCCUUGGACCAGAGUGGACUUAGGAACUGCUGAUCAGACAAAGGCAGCAGGGACACACAUGCAUUUAGGAAGUGAAGAGCUAUCAGAGAGCAAGGCUUUCGGACACUCCGACAGGACCUUGUGAGGGCCAGACAACACCUCCAAACGCACGCUGACUCAGGGAGCCUCACUCCUACCAGGCUGCUUUAGAGAUAGGAAUGUUGGUUCGUUAAUCUGCAAUGCACGAAACAGCCAAGCAGGUCUUUACUGGGGUGUCUCUUUCUUAGGCAGCACAGCCUGGAGGUCUGAGUCAGCAUUCCGGUUGUUCCUUACUCAAGCAAAGUGUCAGCACAAGACUUAGAAGCUAAACAGAGUCAACUUAAGACAGGGGAGAGCACCCAUAAAGCCUUGCCAAGUGGGUGAGGCUGGUCAGUGGGUAGGGCUGCGGGUCAUCCCCAGGGUUGACCCGGUAAAAGGAGAGAACCAAUUACUGUGUAAUCCUCCAAACUCUACAUGGCAUGAUGUGGCGUAAGUGCCCCCUGGCAGCUCCCUACUCCUAAGAAAUAAAAGUGAAAAAAACAAAAUUAGAGCUACCCUAUCCUCACCAUGCAGUCCACACCUUAAGAGUUUGAAUUCUCAUAGCUAUUAAAUAUGAACCCUGUGGGUGUAUAAGCGGUUAUCACAGUGCCCGAGACAAAGGGACUAUUCAAAUAACACGAGAUAAACUAGUGAGCACCACGGACAGUAUAUGUCCCGCCUUUAUAAACAGUCCCUGUGGUACAGAUGGCUGCCCUCGUUUACUUUGGAAAAAGAAAACUGAAGGGCUGGAGAGGUGGCUUGGCAGUUAAUAGCACUCGUUCUUACAGAGGACCGGCCUUCACAUUGCAGCCCCUGUAUGUCCAUCAAUAACUCCAAUUCUGGAGAACUGGGUGCCCUCUUCUGGCCUCUGCAGGCACCAGGUACGUACAUACGUGGUGGACAUACACACAUGAAGAUAAACACUGACACACAUAAAAUCAAUAAUUCUAAAAAACCAAUUUUUUUGAGAAGCAAAUUGACCCUUGUUCCUAAUGCCAGGGUAACAUUGGAUUUUCUUUCCUCCCCCUGCCUCUCUUUCUUCCUUAUAGUGCUGAGGGUGAAACCCAGGCUCUGAGCAUGUUAAACAAGCCCUCCACCACAGAGCAGCCUCCUCAGCCCACAGCAUUAGAUCUGAAACCCAGCA